AUCCGAGCCAUCAUAACCUAGCCGCAACCGCAAAAUCCUCCCUUGUAGUUGCCCCCAUCCAUGUCCACCUCGACCCGAUCACCGCUCCCGCCAGCCGACCCCGAGGCAGAGAGAUCACCGGCCCAGGUUUAUUUCCCCUUCAAUACCAUCCCCUACCCUGCCGCCAUCACCAAAAGUUAAGUUUGAUUGAGGACACCCGGUGCCUGCAAUCGCCGGAGAAAGACGGUCACGAGAAGGAGAAGCCGCUGGCCCGCUCCGCACCGGCGACGCUCCUGCGAACCUCGCGAACCAGGGAAGAAGAUGUGCCGCUAGGAAUCUGUUCCGUCCAUCCUCUACAGGUCAGUUUCUCUACCCCUUCUGUACAUCCCCUAUUUUUGAUGGAUUCACUUACUUGAUCUGAUCUCUGUUUUGGGGGAAGAGGAGAUCAGAGGAUGAGAACCAGAUGAUCCGACUAUAGAAACUGGGAGAAAUCAGAGGCUUGCCUGCCGUGAUUUAUUGCUUCUUAUAUCACGCAGGCGUUAGGGCUCUCCCAAUCUCAUCCUAGAGGAAUAGGACACCUUGCAUGACCGUGAGCGCCGCUGCUCAUCUUAGCUUGUCAGAUUAGGCCGGUUCAAGCAGUGUCUUAGGCACGCUACUAUCCAAGGCGGUCUUCGCGCUUCCACCCUACAUCCACACUAUCCACCAUGUCUCUCCCUAGAUGUGUGGGGAGGAGCAAGCAGGAGGGAAGGAGGAGCACGCAUGACUCCUCUGUCCUGUAUGUAUUUUCAUUUAUGAUAUAUCCAAAACAGAUUACUAUAGAUUAGUUCCCACAACUAUUUAUUAGAUUGGUGCUUAUAUGAAAAAGAUUGAAACACCUCGUUUUAACUUGAUUGGUUCUCAAAGCCUUUCAUAUAGAUUGAAACAACGUGUCAGAUGGAAGGAUAAUCUAAUGUUGUGCUAUCCUGUUUCGAAUUGUAGGCCACAUGAUCAUUUUGUGAGCACCAAACAUGCAGUGAUUGAUGCUUAUAUAUAUAUAUAAAAGCGUAGAAAAAUAAUCUCUUAAGCUAGCAUGGUUUUCACAAUAUAAUGUUCAGUUUUGAGUUAAGAUACACUUUCGUACUGCUAGCCAAUCUUUUUAGAGCUUGUCACUCCAUAAACUAAAACUUGUGAAUUCGAUUGUCAAAUAUUUCUUUUGAGGGCCAUCAACACCAAAAUUUGUUCAUAGUUAUUCAGGUGCACUAUUAGUUAUAUAUGUUAGGCAAAUCUCCCUCGGUGGAGAUCCUGCAGUACUAUAAUUUUGUAGCUUCCUUGUAAUGUAUAAGAUCACGAUAUACACCACAUUCAGUUGCAAGGACGAUGGCGAUGAAAGUUGACAAGGUACUUGAAAGACUACCUGGAAGGAAGAAAAAGAUGACCGUGGUAAGCCAUUCUGAGCUGAAGUGUUCUAUUUUUCUUAUCAACAACUCCUCAAAAUGCCAUGCCAUACCAAUUCAGAGGUUUUUGACCCUGAUAAAUGUAUUAUUAUUCUAUUCUAUUGGCCAUUAUGAAGGAUGCAUACUGAAAAAAUUCAAUAGAAGGCACAUUUUUGCAAGUCAUUGACAGUCUAUAUUUUUUUUAAGUUGGAAGAGUGUGUCAUUGACACCCUUAAUCUGAGGACUACACUUUGCAUAUUGACUUGAUACAUGCACUGUUUUUAAUUACCAUUUCUACCGUUUCUCAGAUUUUGAACGUGAAAUCAGGAGAAAUGUUCUUGGGAUUCUUGCCAAAUGAGUAAUCCUACUUAAUAUGCUUUUGUUAUUCGAAACCUAUUACAGCGGUCAGUCAUGAGCAUAGGGCAUUGCUGCAUUUUAUUUGGAUGUGUACAAAUUUUUCAUAAUACCACCCUUUAUUUUGCAUCAUUCAUUUCGUCCAGUUUGGUCCUCACAUAUGUUCAUCUUACUGUUCAUUAGAUGGUGUUCGACCUUAAGAGCUGGUGAUUUCUGUACAUGCACUGAACCAACGAAAGUUGUCAUAGAUUUUGUAGCUUUUACUUGGUAAGAACUAAGAAUAAUGUACACUCGUACUUGCUUAAUUUUUAAAUAGUUAAGUUUGUAAUGUACAUGAACAAGUGUAGCCACACGACUCACUUAAUACUCUUUCUGAUCCAGAAUAAGUGUCAGAUUUGAACUAAGGAUAAACUAACCUUAGUUCAAAAUUGCAACACGUAUUUUGGAUCGGAGAGAGUAGUAUUUAGCGAUGUCUUUGCCUUAUUAUUUAUACUACUAAAUUUUCAUGUAUUGAUGUGAACAGAAAGGCCAUGGUUGCAUAUUGGUUCCAUAUAAGUAGUACUUCCA